GUGGGGAGCAAACAGGAUUAGAUACCCUGGUAGUCCACGCUGUAAACGAUGAGUACUAGGUGUCGGGGGGUACCCCCUUCGGUGCCGCAGCUAACGCAUUAAGUACUCCGCCUGGGAAGUACGCUCGCAAGAGGGAAACUCAAAGGAAUUGACGGGGACCCGCACAAGUAGCGGAGCAUGUGGUUUAAUUCGAAGCAACGCGAAGAACCUUACCUAAGCUUGAC
rnacentral:rRNA from 1 species